CUGCCGGCGUGCUUAACACAUGCAAGUCGAGCGGUAAGGCCCUUCGGGGUACACGAGCGGCGAACGGGUGAGUAACACGUGGGUGAUCUGCCUUGCACUCUGGGAUAAGCCUGGGAAACUGGGUCUAAUACCGGAUAUGACCUUCGGCUUCCUGGUCGAUGGUGGAAAGAUUUAUCGGUGCAAGAUGAGCCCGCGGCCUAUCAGCUUGUUGGUGGGGUAAUGGCCUACCCAAGGCGACGACGGGUAGCCGGCCUGAGAGGGCGACCGGCCACACUGGGGACUGAGACACGGGCCCAGACUCCUACGGGAGGCAGCAGUGGGGAAUAUUGCACAAUGGGCGGAAGCCUGAUGCAGCGACGCCGCGUGAGGGAUGACGGCCUUCGGGUUGUAAACCUCUUUCGACUCCGACGAAGCGAGAGUGACGGUAGGAGUAUAAGAAGCACCGGCCAACUACGUGCCACCAGCCGCGGUAAUACGUAGGGUGCGAGCGUGUCCGGAAUUACUGGGCGUAAAGAGCUUGUAGGCGGCUUGUCGCGUCGAUCGUGAAAACUCGGGGCUCAACCCCGAGCUUGCGGUCGAUACGGGCAGGCUUGAGUACUUCAGGGGAGACUGGAAUUCCUGGUGUAGCGGUGAAAUGCGCAGAUAUCAGGAGGAACACCGGUGGCGAAGGCGGGUCUCUGGGAAGUAACUGACGCUGAGAAGCGAAAGCGUGGGUAGCGAACAGGAUUAGAUACCCUGGUAGUCCACGCCGUAAACGGUGGGUACUAGGUGUGGGUUUCCUUCCACGGGAUCCGUGCCGUAGCUAACGCAUUAAGUACCCCGCCUGGGGAGUACGGCCGCAAGGCUAAAACUCAAAGGAAUUGACGGGGGCCCGCACAAGCGGCGGAGCAUGUGGAUUAAUUCGAUGCAACGCGAAGAACCUUACCUGGGUUUGACAUACACCGGAAACCUGCAGAGAUGUAGGCCCCCUUGUGGUCGGUGUACAGGUGGUGCAUGGCUGUCGUCAGCUCGUGUCGUGAGAUGUUGGGUUAAGUCCCGCAACGAGCGCAACCCUUAUCUUAUGUUGCCAGCGCGUAAUGGCGGGGACUCGUGAGAGACUGCCGGGGUCAACUCGGAGGAAGGUGGGGACGACGUCAAGUCAUCAUGCCCCUUAUGUCCAGGGCUUCACACAUGCUACAAUGGCCGGUACAGAGGGCUGCGAUACCGUGAGGUGGAGCGAAUCCCUUAAAGCCGGUCUCAGUUCGGAUCGGGGUCUGCAACUCGACCCCGUGAAGUUGGAGUCGCUAGUAAUCGCAGAUCAGCAACGCUGCGGUGAAUACGUUCCCGGGCCUUG
rnacentral:rRNA from 1 species